CUCUCUGAUAAUCAGAUCCGCAUGAAGCUGCUGCUGCUCGGUCGGACUCUACGCCCGUCAAGAAGUUUGAAGUUUUGGAAACAACGGAGACUUUUAGAGUCAUUUAAAAAGUGUAGCUGUUCAGUCUUGUCUUGUUUUUCUCUACUUCACCGUCCCGGACCCACGGGGGACCGAGGAGUUUCUCCAGACGGGACCGAAACUCUUCGCCUAGCCGUUAGGAUGGAACUUUAACGAACAGUUUUUUUUUUGAUCCGUCUCCAUGGAAACGGAAACCCCGCCCAAAUCCUCAGAGAUCAGAGACGAUCUCACUCAUCUGAGAGAGACAUCGUGGACUGUCAGUGAUCGACAAUCAAACAGCCUUCAUGGAGACGUGUCCAAAACACUGAGAUGAACAAAAGUGGGAUCAUGUUGGAGUGGUUAAACAACACCGCCUCCACAGUAAAGAGUCACAGUGACCCCCUGACCCUCCAAACAGCAGGAGGCCGACCCUCAGUG